UUUGACUUUACCUAAGUUCUGGUUUUGAUCAUUAGCUCCUCCUAAAUUUUUCUUCAGAAGAUUCUUUGUUUCUGAACAGUUGUCUAUAGUUUCUGAACAAGCAGUCCUAAUGCCUGAUCAGAAAACAGCUCAGACACAGCUGCUCCCUUCCCCAUCCCCUGGCUUCCAUGGAGUCCAACCAAUACCAGAGUCCAAAGGGUGCCCUUUAAGCAAAAUUCUGGACACAGAUUCCUGUAACUUGUUGCUUGUCAGGACAACCAGAAUACCAGAUCUGGGGAACUGAAGUACACUGUAAUUGCUUGCAGCCUCAAGGCCAAGUCAUUGACCUGCCCUUCAACAUCUCAGAAAAAAAGAUUUAUCUGGAAAUUAAAGAUGAUUUACAAGGAAACUUCAGUACACUUUGUUGUGACACAUUUGAAAUAUUGCCCAAUGCUGACAACACACAAAGCUGUUUAGUUUCAUCCAAUCAACAGCUGUUGACACAGAAAUGCUGUGCAGAAUACCCACUUUCUAACAAGAACAGAUGCUCUUUCUCACGUCAUUGCUGUCAUACAGAAGCUACCUGAAAAUACCUUCUUUCAACUUGUAAAUUCUUGUGCCUGGACACCUACAGAAAGAGAGCAGUGAUAAUACAGCAACAGUAUUAA